UACGUAGGCAGCGAGCGUUGUUCGGAAUUACGUGGCGUAAAGAGUGUGUAGGCGGUGCUCUAAGUUCGGUGUGAAACUCUCGUCGCUUAACUGGGAGGGUGCGCCGGAAACUGGAGUGCUCGAACGUGGGAAGAUGGAAAGCGGAAGUUCCUGGUGUAGCGGUGAAAUGCGUAGAUAUCAGGAGGAACACCUUGCGGUGAGUGAAGACCGGCUUUCGUGGGUACCCAUUGUUGACGCUUGGAAGAACA
rnacentral:rRNA from 1 species